UACGAGGGGGGCAAGCGUUGUUCGGAAUUAUUGGGCGUAAAGGGCGCGUAGGCGGUGCGGUAAGUCACCUGUGAAACCUCUAGGCUUAACCUAGAGCCUGCAGGCGAAACUGCCGUGCUUGAGGGUGGGAGAGGUGCGUGGAAUUCCCGGUGUAGCGGUGAAAUGCGUAGAUAUCGGGAAGAACACCGGUGGCGAAGGCGGCCAUCUGGACCGGCACUGACGCUGAGGCGCGAAAGCGUGGGGAGCAAACAGG
rnacentral:rRNA from 1 species